UAGCUCAGCUGGUAAAGAAUCUGCCUGAAAUGCAGGAAACCCAGGUUCAAUUCCUGG
rnacentral:tRNA from 1 species